AAAAAAUGUUUGGUCUCGUGCCAAAUCAACACCUGUGUGCACUAUUGUCUGUAUUUGGUAGUCUAGGAGGGGCGACCCGCAAGGGCCUGCCCAUAUACUCCGUGACCCAGUCAACUUUUAGUUGGUUGGUGUCGGGCUACCGCCAUUUUGAAAAACCUUUUGUUUGUUUGUUUUUGUCUGAACGAGGAGUUAAUCUUCAUUGAUUAAUGAUUUGAAAUACAACUCUUGACAACGGAUCUCUUGGCUCUCGCAACGAUGAAGAACGCAGCGAAACGCGAUAAGUAAUGUGAAUUGCAGAAUUCAGUGAAUCAUCGAAUCUUUGAACGCACAUUGCGCUCCUUGGUAUUCCGGGGAGCAUGCCUGUUUGAGAAUCAGUAAAUUCAUCGAACACGGUAUGGUUUCAUACCUGCUGUGAUCGGAUAUGGGCCUCUUUGCGCCCGGCGCAAUGGCCCUGAAAUUCAAUGUCACGGAAUCAUUGGACACCAGUCCGGUUUCAAGCGCAUGAAAGGGUUAGUUCUCUCGAUUACGUCUUGUAGUAUCGUUCUGGUUUUGAAGGACUUUGACUUCUGGGAUUCAACUAUCACUCCAGAUGGCAUUCUUUUAGGGUGCUUUCUGAACACUUGGUCUCAAAUCAGGUAGGAAACCCGCUGAACUUAAGCAUAUCAAUAAGCGGAGGAAUCGCGUACUUGGUCAUUUAGAGGAAGUAAAAGUCGUAACAAGGUUCGCGUAGGUGAACCUGCGGAAGGAUCAUUAUUGAUUUAGUUAUUUGUGAACGUACUACGAACAAACAAAAAAAUAUUAUAGUCAAAAAAAAAUUAAAUCA
rnacentral:misc_RNA from 1 species